rfam:Brassica napus, WGS project CCCW01000000 data, contig: 11987
AUUAGCCAAUGUGCUUUGUAGUCUGAAUAACUCAGAAAUUGAUAGUGUUUACAUCAAUUUUGUCUCUGCUUUCGGCCUUGAGAUUUUAUUUACACUAGAACACCAAAUUA